GAUAGAUUUAGUCCGAUAGUCUUAUGCGGUAGGAUUCAGUUGCAAAUAGAUGCCCUUAGACGCCUAAGCAACUGUGAUGCCAGAGCGGGUUGCAGUCCAAAGUGGGUGGUAAACUCCAUCCAAGGCUAAAUACUGGCACGAGUCCGAUAGUGCAGUCCAAAGUGGGUGGUAAACUCCAUCAGACAAGUACAGGUUCGGUUCGACCGGAUCGUGCAACCGGGAUAGAUUUAAUCAUCGUCGACUCACGGCAGAUUAGCCCAGCGGGUGAAAUAGACAAGUACCGUGAGGGAAAGUUGAAAAGUACUCUGAAGAGAGAGUAAAUAGCACGUGAAGCCGCUUGCAGGGAAGCUAUCAGUAUCGAACCGUGAUGUACUCUGAAGAGAGAGUAAAUAGCACGUGACCGUGAGGGAAAGUUGAAAAGUACUCUGAAGUGGGCAUUCUUGUCUGCUGGGUGCGGAAUGGCAGGUGGCGGACCAUGCCCAGAGCGGGUCGCUGGGA
rnacentral:rRNA from 1 species